UUUGUCUGCAGAGGACCUUAUUACAAGAUCUUGGAAUGAUGCUGUGAAAUAUUGUCACUUCUAAACUUGGACAACAGACUAAAAUUAGCAACUGGUUCCCAAAAUUUGAAGCAGUAGAUAUUAUUUGAAGAUCUAACUAGUUUUAAAGACCUAAGCUCAUAUUCUAUGUAUUUUAGCCCCCAAAGUUACAGAAAACUGUCUCAGAGCAGCAAAAGAACCAUAACAUAGCAAAGGUAAUGUCAAUGAACAUAACACUGCCAUCAAAUUGCAAAUGCAGCUAGAAAUGCAACACAAUAGUGUAUACUGGACCCACUUCACACUCAGUCGAGAACCAAUUAAAAGAAGAAGAAGAAGAAG
rnacentral:misc_RNA from 1 species